CAUUCACACAACAACCCGUCGUCGAUCGUCGUGGUCGGCGGCCAGGUGUGUGGAUGGGUAGGGGAGCGUCGUGUGGCGGUGGAAGCGGCGGAGUGAUCCAGCCGUGGACGCCACGCGAGUGAGAAUGCAGGCAUGAGUAGCGAGAGGGGAGUGAGAACCUCCCCCGCCGGAAGACCAAGGGUUCCUGGGCCAGGCUAAUCCGCCCAGGGUGAGUCGGGACCUAAGGCGAGGCCGACAGGCGUAGUCGAUGGACAACGGGUUGAUAUUCCCGUACCCGCGAAGGAACGCCCAUGCUGAACCCAGCGAUGCUAACCGCCCGAAGCCCGGUGCUGAUCCUUUCGAGGUGAGGUGCCGGUUCUAGCGCGGGACCCGGA
rnacentral:rRNA from 1 species